rnacentral:tRNA from 1 species
UCCCUGGUGUUCUUGUGGGUAGGAUUUGGCACUCUCAUUGCCAUGGCCCAGGUUGGAUUCCCGGUCGGGGAA